AUGCCUCAGAUCUCGACACCACCGGCCGCACACCCUUGUCGCACUCCACCCAAAACAGCCACGCCGCGCCGCCGUCGGGUCCGUAGAAGAAUUGCAGAGAUGGGUGGAUACACAUGCAUCCCGUCCUCAAAUCCUCAAAUGAUGAUUGAUCGACUUAACGUCUUAUCAAUUAAUAUCUGCCACGUCUUUAAGUAA